AACAUACACACACACAUGUAUAUAUGUAUUUGCAUGUAUGUCGAUCCUUAUAUCACACACACACACACACACACACACACACACACACGCACGCACGCACGCACGCAUGCAGGCAUCCCGGCACAAAGAGCCGCUGACCAAUUGGCGAGCACGCAUCGCUCCGUCACUCGUUGCGCGGCGUUUUCACUUUUGUUGUGAUUCGCUGCGUUCGCUGUCUUGAUUGCCGUCGCGAAUGGUUCUGUUGCCUGUCUGCCUGCACUGUCAUUGCACGUGAUUGAGCAGGUUUGCUUCCAGGUGUAAUGCUGUCUGUCGACUACGGAUUCGGCACCUCCGUGAAAAGGAGCGGACACGCCGCAUGCUGGUGCGCCGCACUGGGCGGCGUUGUUUAGUUCGGUGGCUGGCCGCCAAGCGAACUGCUGGCUGAAGUGGUGCGGCACGAGGGAUCUAGCUGCCCUCUCUUCGUGCUGCCCGUAACGACGAUCGCGCGCCAUGUGCCCCGCGCAGAUCAGCGCCGUGGGACAGACGUCUUCGACGUUGCUUUGGCGCCGCACCGCCAGCGCAGGCUGCGAAGGCUGUGCGAAAUCGCCAGCGGAGUGGCACCUUGCGAGUGCAGCGGGACGCUGCGCAAUUUCCAGGGCAGGCGCUCCUCGAGGCCGGACUGUGCCGCCAAAGAGGGGGAUAAGGACGGCGAUAUCCUGGGAGAGAGCUUUAGCGCGUUUUCCUCCGGAUCCCUUGCCCUCUCUCAAACGACGGAGGAGUCGAGCGAGCGCGGGCUUGAGUAUGAAGAAGGUUACUUGAGAGAACAGGAGGUGGAGAACGCGGCCGACCGGAGCAGGGGUGGCUCGGUCGACACCUCGCCGUCCUUGUCUUCCUCCUCAAGGAGAGGGAGCGGGUGCGGCACCGAUGCGCGAUAGCUGUGGCACCUCCAUGCCGCCGCCGCGUCUGCACCGGACAGAGUCGUCGCCGAUGCGGUGAACGAGGUUGUGGUGCCACCAAUCACUGUUGAGCUGCUGCGCCAGCUGAGGCUGGCGGCGGGCGACCGCACAGCACACAACACGCCUGCAUCUCUCCGUCAGCGGCCGCGUCACACGGCCACAUGAGGUUGAGUCCCAGCACUCGCACUGGCUACGUCAAAUCUGCCCUCCGAGACCUCACAAAGGGGCGCAACGCUGGUCAUGACAUGGGCAAGGAGGCGCCUUCAGUCCCGGCCGACACACGCGAGGUGCGCGGCAAGCACACAGUGCGGCCGCUUCGGUGGCAGAUGAUUCGGCCGCCGGUGGCGCUACGCUCGCGGCACGGGCACCAUCUCGUCUCCUGCAGGGAGCGCCUCUACGUGAUCAGCGGCUGCUACUGGGCUCAUGGCAACGCACUGGCGUCGACGGACAUGAUGUACGAUGUGUGCACGGGCGCCUCGCAGCAGAUUUCUUUUCCCUUCCCCCAGCGCUUCUGCGCGGCGUUGGCGAAGAGCGAUGCCGUCCCCGCGACGCCGUGGACGAUGUGAGCGUCGUCUUCGCCAAGGCGUCUCGUGGAAGAGGUUGUCGAGGGGGGGGGCGCUCUCACACGCUGGACGGCGAGGGCGGGCGACGAACAUCAGGUGCUGUACUGUUUUGGCGACUUGAGCUACUCGCAUCAGCUGAUGCACACUCCCCAUCGUCUCUGGCUGCCGCAGGCGGUGCUGGAGGAACUGCCCCAAUACGGUACAGUGCCGCGAGCGCAGUCCAAAGGGAUUCUCGUGUGCAACGUGCAGCGUGAAAGCACCCCCGAUGAGCACAAACGUGGCGAACAGGCGACAAGACGACUCUUCUACAUGGACGGCUUUCAGGAUGGAGGCCCGAUGGCGCCAUGUCUGUGAGUGUACACCUUGGCAACUGGAGUAUGGGUGCGUGUGUGCCCUUCACCAGACCUCGUACGCAGCCAGAUCUCGCUGCUUCAGUACGAACUAGUGGACACAGUGAGCGAGAGGCCCGCUAGCGAGGCAGCGCGGUCGGCGCCCGUGCCUGUCAAGCAAGAGUGCAAUCAACCGGCAAAGCGGCAUGCCACUUGCCUUCGACGGUUCGAGGUGGUGGGCGGCAUGCCGGCUCGCCGUGGCAAGCAGCGCCGCUCUCGCAUAUGCUACGCAUUCGACACGGUGCAGAUGCGCUUCGACUACGCGCACGCGCUGCCGGCGCCCGGGCUUACAGCGCACUGUGUAGUGCUAGUACCGUCUGCUGGUAUGCCCAGCGCUGCUGCAGCUCUCCACUCGACGGUGAAGGCUGGGGAGGACAGGCAAACAGUGGCGGAAGGCGCCACGCUCUUGAGCGCCUACCAGACCGCCCUCAGAGUGCUACGCGAGCGGUGUGGUGCGUGGCCACUGUGCUGCGGUGGCAACGAAGACUGGAGCGAUGCCGAGCAGAACAGCCUCGGGAAGCCGGUGGGGUGGCUGUACUUGCUUGCGCUACGCAAGAUUCCUCUUGCCGAGGGAUCUCGGGUGGAGAUGGGGCGACUGUGUAUCCAAUCGACGGUGCUCACAAUGGACAGAGAUGGGCUUCUCGGCACGCUCUUUUAAAGCGUGUGUGUCUGCACGGGAUUGGGGGGGGGAGCGGCGGCGGCAGCAGCAGCGGCACACGUGUGUUGGUGGUGAGGAGGAAAUGCUCAUCUGUUGCACAGCCUACCUUCCUCUCUGCAUCUUCUCUCUUUGUUUUUCUCUUGCCGAUCGGCGAGAGGGCUUGCGCACGUGGUCCUUUCGGUAUUUGUGCCGCUACGUGGUGGUGCUCCCAUUGGGCCGCGCCGCUUCGGUUGAU
rnacentral:misc_RNA from 1 species